AGCAGUAGCCGCGGUAAUACGUAGGUGGCAAGCGUUGUCCGGAAUUAUUGGGCGUAAAGGGCUCGCAGGCGGUUUCUUAAGUCUGAUGUGAAAGCCCCCGGCUCAACCGGGGAGGGUCAUUGGAAACUGGGAAACUUGAGUGCAGAAGAGGGGAGUGGAAUUCCACGUGUAGCGGUGAAAUGCGUAGAGAUGUGGAGGAACACCAGUGGCGAAGGCGACUCUCUGGUCUGUAACUGACGCUGAGGAGCGAAGGCGUGGGGAGCGAACAGGAUUAGAUACCGCGUAGUCCCUGUCUCUUAUACA
rnacentral:rRNA from 1 species